rnacentral:rRNA from 1 species
AGCAGCCGCCGCGGUAAAACGAAGGGUGCAAGCGUUACUCGGAAUUACUGGGCGUAAAGCGUGCGUAGGUGGUGGUUUAAGUCCGUUGUGAAAGCCCUGGGCUCAACCUGGGAAUUGCAGUGGAUACUGGGUCACUAGAGUGUGGUAGAGGAUAGUGGAAUUUCCGGUGUAGCAGUGAAAUGCGUAGAGAUCGGAAGGAACAUCUGUGGCGAAGGCGACUAUCUGGGCCAACACUGACACUGAGGCACGAAAGCGUGGGGAGCAAACAGGAUUAGAUACCCGAGUAGUCCCUGUCUCUUAUAA